CAGACAGUGACAACAUAACGACGACGUCUGUCGAGGUUAACAUCGCCGUUACUGGCUUUAAACGCAAGUAGACAAAAGCACAGUUAGAUCUUGAACAAAGCGGUCUACCAACCACGAUGAAUAAACAAACACGGAGGUACCUAACUGUCGUCUGCAUGUUGCUGCUCAUCAUAACCCUUUACAGAACAGGGCGUGGCAGAUCCGGGCGGAGGUGCAAAGGUAUCGGCAGUCGGUGUUCACCAACAGAAAGUUGCUGCCAUUUUGUUAUUAACAGGUGCCUGAAUAAUGUCUGCGUUAAUAUAAUGCCUCCACAAGUGAGAAGGUAGAUAGACGGACCUUCCCAGAAUACAAACGGACUAAUGUCACCUGCUACCAAUGAGUAUUGGAUGCUGGAUGUACCCAAUAGUAACAACAACAGGGUGCGUCUGCCUACUGUCCGAUUCUGGGAUGUCAACGUAUUUCUCGAUUGCUCUGUUUGUUCAAGAAAUUCAACGAGAAAUAAAAUUCUACUAAAAGCAAA
rnacentral:lncRNA from 1 species